rnacentral:rRNA from 1 species
AUUCCAGCUCCAAUAGCGUAUAUUAAAGUUGCUGCAGUUAAAAAGCUCGUAGUUGGAUCUUGGGAGCGGGCGGGCAGUCCGCCGCGAGGCGAGCCACCGCCCGUCCCCGCCCCUUGCCUCUCGGCGCCCCCUCGAUGCUCUUAGCUGAGUGUCCCGCGGGGCCCGAAGCGUUUACUUUGAAAAAAUUAGAGUGUUCAAAGCAGGCCCGAGCCGCCUGGAUACCGCAGCUAGGAAUAAUGGAAUAGGACCGCGGUUCUAUUUUGUUGGUUUUCGGAACUGAGGCCAUGAUUAAGAGGGACGGCCGGGGGCAUUCGUAUUGCGCCGCUAGAGGUGAAAUUCUUGGACCGGCGCAAGACGGACCAGAGCGAAAGCAUUUGCCAAGAAUGUUUUCAUCA